UGCCCGGUAGUGUAAUGGUAGCACAAGGGUUUUUGGAGCCCUCUGUCUAGGUUCGAGUCCUGGCCGGGCAGCCA
rnacentral:tRNA from 1 species